rnacentral:tRNA from 1 species
GCAGUGGUGGUUCAGGGGUAGAAGUCUCGCCUUUCAUGAGGGAGACCUAGGUUCAAUUCCCAGCCACAGCA